AUUGAACGCUGGCGGCAUGCUUUACACAUGCAAGUCGAACGGUAACAGGCCUUCGGGUGCUGACGAGUGGCGAACGGGUGAGUAAUGCAUCGGAACGUACCCAGAGGUGGGGGAUAACGCAGCGAAAGCUGUGCUAAUACCGCAUGUGAUCUGAGGAUGAAAGCGGGGGACCGAGCAGCAAUGUUUGGCCUCGCGCCUUUGGAGCGGCCGAUGUCGGAUUAGCUAGUUGGUGGGGUAAAGGCCUACCAAGGCGACGAUCCGUAGCUGGUCUGAGAGGGCGACCAGCCACACUGGGACUGAGACACGGCCCAGACUCCUACGGGAGGCAGCAAUGGGGAAUUUUGGACAAUGGGCGCAAGCCUGAUCCAGCAAUGCCGCGUGCGGGAAGAAGGCCUUCGGGUUGUAAACCGCUUUUGGCAGGAACGAAACGGUGUCCGCUAAUACCGGGCGCUAAUGACGGUACCUGCAGAAUAAGCACCGGCUAACUACGUG
rnacentral:rRNA from 1 species